rnacentral:lncRNA from 1 species
AUGCAUUGGAGACGGAAACGGCAACCCACUCCAGUGUUCUUGCCUGGAGAAUCCCAGGGACAGGGGAGCCUGGUGGGCUGCCGUCUAUGGGGUCGCACAGAGUCGGACACGACUGAAGCGACUCAGCAGCAGCAGCAGCAGUGUCUACUCCCUCGUUACCACUGUGAGGUUCCCCAUGCGUGGGGCUCCUGGAGACUCCUCAGCAGAGCGUCCAUGCUCAGCAGAGACCAGACCUGCCCCUCGUCUCCAGCCCAGCGCCUGGCGUGUUUUCGCGGCACCUCAGCAGGACAACAAAAGACCGAGACUGCCAGCACCAAGGACCCUUACCUGGGUCAGUAGCCACAAUAUUUUACCCUGCCUGGAAGCAUCUGCUGAAGUUCCAUCACAAGAAGUAUUUCUCUGACUCUCGCGGCCUGCAGAUCACUGGUGCUUACAGAAGAGGCAAAGAUGAAUCUGCCAACAGGUAGCUUACGAUGUGAGCUAUGUACCAAUUUCUCUUACAUUUUUAUUAAUUCCCACUCUUUUCUAGUGGAGCCCAUACAAUGGUUGCCUCUGGGUCAACGGUUCUUAAGUGAGGACACUUUGCAAUGUUUGGGAACACUUUUGUUUGUCACAACUUGGAGGAGCUGGUAUUUCUGGCUUCUGGUGGUCACAG